CGAGGCCAUCCUGGCUAACAUGGUGAAACCCAGUCUCUACUAAAAAAUACAAAAAAAAAAAAAAAAAAAAAAAAAAAAAAAAAAAAAUCAGCCGGGCAUGGUGGCAGGCGCCUGUAGUCCCAGCUACUCGGGCGGCUGAGGCAGGAGAAUGGCGUGAACCCGGGAGGCGGAGCUUGCAGUGAGCCGAGAUUGCGCCAUGCACUCCAGCCUGGGUGACAGAGCGAGACUCCGUCUCAAAAAAAAAAAAAAAACCCGUGUCAUCCAAAAGCACACGAGGGGUCCUCCCCCUCAGGGACCCCUUCCCCGAGCCCCCUUAAUCAGCCCCCAAAGGCCCUACCAGUCCCCUCCCCCAGGGUUCUGCGGGCGGCGAUCAUUGCCCUGGGCGUCUGGAGCGGGUCCGGGGCGGGGAGGGGCAGGGCUGGGUGGGACCGGGCCGCCCCUCGCUCCCCUCCCACCGCGCUGCGGUCCCGCGCCCGAGCCGUCGCCAGCCGCUCCCUGCCUCCGCAUGGAGGCUCCUGCGGCCGCCGACGUCCCGGUCCCCGCUGAGCUCCCCGCCGUCGCCAAGGACCGGCCCCCAUAGCAGCCCCGGGCCCUCAAAUGCCAGGACCGCUUGUGGGGCCUGCGGGGCGCGCUGACCCGGACCUGCGGCGGGAGGCGGCUGAGCUGGCGGCGCUCGCGGGCCCAGUGUUUCUUGCGCAGUUGAUGAUCUUUCUCAUCAGCCUCGUCAGCUCCAUCUUCAGUGGACAUCCGGGCAAGGUCCAGCUGGACGCUGUCACGCUCGCCGUCACGGUGGUGAACGUUACUGGGAUUGCAGUUGGCACUGGCUUAGCCUCAGCUUAUGACACCCUCAUGUCUCAGUCCUUUGGAGGCAAGAACCUCAAGCACGUGGGGAUCGUACUUCAGAGAGGGGUCCUCAACCUUAUGCUGUGCUGCUUUCCCUGCUGGGCCGACUUUGUCAACACCAAGCACAUCCUCCUGCUCUUAAAACAAGACCCCGAAGUCUACAGGACUGAUUGACGUGAUGAAGCUUGGCGCUCAGGGCAUCAUCUGUGAGCUGGCGUCAGUGGCCUACAUGGUCUUUUUCAAAAUGGAGUCUCUUGGAGCGCCUCUGCCCGGCCGCCCCGUCUGGGAAGUGAGGAGCGCCUCUGCCCGGCCACCCAUCGUCUGGGAAGUGAGGAGCACCUCUGCCCGGCCGCCCCGUCUGGGAAGUGAGGAGCGCCUCUGCCCGGCCGCCCCGUCUGGGAAGUGAGGAGCGCCUCUGCCCGGCCACCCAUCGUCUGGGAGGUGAGGAGCGCCUCUGCCCGGCCGCCCAUCGUCUGGGAGGUGAGGAGCGCCUCUGCCCGGCCACCCAUCGUCUGGGAAGUGAGGAGCGCCUCUGCCCGGACGCCCUGUCUGGGAAGAAGUGGGGAGCGCCUCUGCCCGGCCGCCCCGUCUGGGAGGUGAGGAGCGACUCUGCCCGGCCGCCCCGUCCAGGAAGAAGUGAGGAGUGCCUCUGCUCCGCCGCCCCGUCUGGGAAGUGAGGAGCGCCUCUGCCCGGCCACCCAUCGUCUGGGAGGUGAGGAGCGCCUCUGCCCGGCCGCCCAUCGUCUGGGAGGUGAGGAGCGCCUCUGCCCGGCCACCCAUCGUCUGGGAAGUGAGGAGCGCCUCUGCCCGGACGCCCUGUCUGGGAAGAAGUGGGGAGCACCUCUGCCCGGCCGCCCCGUCUGGGAGGUGAGGAGCGACUCUGCCCGGCCGCCCCGUCCAGGAAGAAGUGAGGAGCGCCUCUGCCCGGCCGCCCCGUCCGGGAAGAAGUGAGGAGCGCCUCUGCCCAGCCACCCAUCGUCUGGGAAGUGAGGAGCGCCUCUGCCCGGCCGCCCUGUCUGGGAAGUGAGGAGCGCCUCUGCCCGGCCACCCAUCAUCUGGGAAGUGAGGAGCGCCUCUGCCUGGCCACCCAUCAUCUGGGAAGUGAGGAGCGCCUCUGCCCGGCCACCCAUCGUCUGGGAGGUGAGGAGCACCUCUGCCCGGCCACCCAUCGUCUGGGAAGUGAGGAGCGCCUCUGCCUGGAAGCCCUGUCUGGGAAGAAGUGAGGAGCGCCUCUGCAUGGCCGCCCCAUCCGGGAAGAAAUGAGCAACGCGUCUACCCGGUCGUCCCGUCUGGGAAUUGAGGAGCGCCUCUGCCCGGCCGCCCCGUCCGGGAAGAAAUGAGGAGCGCCUCUGCCCGGCCACCCAUCGUCUGGGAAGUGAGGAGCGCCUCUGCCCGGCCACCCAUCGUCUGGGAAGUGAGGAGCGCCUCUGCCCGGCCGCCCCGUCUGGGAAGUGAGGAGCGCCUCUGCCCGGCC